UACGGGGGGAGCAAGCGUUGUUCGGAUUUACUGGGCGUAAAGGGCGCGUAGGCGGCGUGACAAGUCACUUGUGAAAUCUCCGGGCUUAACUCGGAACGGUCAAGUGAUACUGUCGUGCUAGAGUACAGAAGGGGCAACUGGAAUUCUCGGUGUAGCGGUGAAAUGCGUAGAUAUCGAGAGGAACACCUGCGGCGAAGGCGGGUUGCUGGGCUGAUACUGACGCUGAUGUGCGAAAGCUAGGGGAGCAAACGGG
rnacentral:rRNA from 1 species